AUAUCAAUAAGCGGAGGAAAAGAAACCAACAGGGAUUGCCUCAGUAACGGCGAGUGAAGCGGCAACAGCUCAAAUUUGAAAUCUGGCUCUUUUCAGGGGUCCGAGUUGUAAUUUGUAGAAGGAUGCUUCGGCGUCGGCUCCGGUCUGAGUUCCUUGGAACAGGACGUCAUAGAGGGUGAGAAUCCCGUAUGUGAUCGUUGCAGCCUUUCGCCAUGUGAAGCUCUUCGACGAGUCGAGUUGUUUGGGAAUGCAGCUCUAAAAUGGGUGGUAAAUUUCAUUCUAAAGCUAAAUAUCGGCCAGAGACCGAUAGCGCACAAGUAGAGUGAUCGAAAGAUGAAAAGCACUUUGGAAAGAGAGUCAAAACAGUAC
rnacentral:rRNA from 1 species